AGUGGAUGGGGAGCAACCUAGUUGUGCGUGUGUAAAGGUAGUGCCAAGAAAAGCGGUGAUCAUGAUGAAAAUCAAUUCCCGGUACCCGAAACCGACACAGGUGGGCAAGUAGAGAAUACUAAGGGGCGCGAGGUAACUCUCUCCAAGGAACUCGGCGAAAUGACCCCGUAACUUAGGGAGAAGGGGUGCCACCGAGAGGUGGUCGCAGUGAAGAGGCCCAGGCGACUGUUUAGCAAAAACAUAGGUCUCUGCAAACUCGAAAGAGGAGGUAUAGGGGCUGACGCCUGCCCAGUGCCGGAAGGUUAAAGAAGUUGGUCAGUCUUAGGAUAAAGCUAGCGACUGAAGCCCCGGUGAACGGCGGCCGUAACUAUAACGGUCCUAAGGUAGCGAAAUUCCUUGCCGGGUAAGUUCCGACCCGCACGAAAGGCGUAACGAUCUGGGCGCUGUCUCGGAGAGAGGCUCGGCGAAAUAGGAUUGUCUGUGAAGAUACGGACUACCUGCAUUUGGACAGAAAGACCCUAUGAAGCUUUACUAUAGCUUGGAAUUGUGUUCGGGCUUCCUGUGCGCAGGAUAGGUGGGAGGCGAAGAAGGUAUUCUUGUGGGGAUACUGGAGCCAACGGUGAGAUACCACUCUCAGGAGGCUAGAAUUCUAACUUAAUUAAGGACAGUUUCAGGUGGGUAGUUUGACUGGGGCGGUCGCCUCCAAAAAGGUAACGGAGGCGUACAAAGGUUCCCUCAGACUGGUUGGAAAUCAGUCGCAGAGUGCAAAGGCAGAAGGGAGCUUGACUGCGAGAAGUACAGUUCGAGCAGGGUGGAAACACGGUCUUAGUGAUCCGACGGUGCUGUGUGGAAGGGCCGUCGCUCAACGGAUAAAAGUUACUCUAGGAUAACAGGCUGAUCUCCCCCAAGAGUUCACAUCGACGGGGAGGUUUGGCACCUCGAUGUCGGCUCAUCGCAACCUGGGGCGGAAGUACGUCCCAAGGGUUGGGCUGUUCGCCCAUUAAAGCGGUACGUGAGCUGGGUUCAGAACGUCGUGAGACAGUUCGGUCCAUAUCCGAUGUAGGCGUGAGAAUAUUGAGAGGAGCCUUCCUUAGUACGAGAGGACCGGGAAAGACGCACCGCUGGUGUACCUGUUAUGAUGCCAAUUGUAAACGCAGGGUAGCCAAGUGCGGAGAGGAUAACCGCUGAAAGCAUCUAAGUGGGAAGCCCACCUCAAGAUGAGUAUUCUGGUGUAAGGUCACGGGAAGACGACCCGUAAAUAGGCACGAGGUGGAAGUGCAGAGAUGUAUGAAGCCGAAGUGUACUAAUAGACCGUCGGCUUGACC
rnacentral:rRNA from 1 species